CCUACGGGAUGCAGCAGUGAGGAAUAUUGGUCAAUGGACGAGAGUCUGAACCAGCCAAGUAGCGUGAAGGAUGACUGCCCUAUGGGUUGUAAACUUCUUUUAUAUGGGAAUAAAAUGUUCCACGUGUGCCAUUUUGUAUGUACCUUAUGAAUAAGGAUCGGCUAACUCCGUGCCAGCAGCCGCGGUAAUACGGAGGAUCCGAUCGUUAUCCGGAUUUAUUGGGUUUAAAGGGAGCGUAGGUGGAUUGUUAAGUCAGUUGUGAAAGUUUGCGGCUCAACCGUAAAAUUGCAGUUGAGACUGGCAGUCUUGAGUACAGUAGAGGUGGGCGGAAUUCGUGGUGUAGCGGUGAAAUGCUUAGAUAGCACGAAGAACUCCGAUUGCGAAGGCAGCUCACUAGACUGCAACUGACACUGAGGCUCGAAAGUGUGGGUAUCAAACAGGAUUAGAUACCCUAGUAGUC
rnacentral:rRNA from 1 species